GAAGUCUGAUACGAAAGGCGGGUCACCGGGUUGCAAAAUUUGCGGGAAGGGCCAUAAAGGCGAAUGUCAUUACAAGGAUAAGCCUUGUCCUAUAUGCAAGAAAACGGGACAUAUAGCCUUAUCAUGCCCGGAGAAGGUAACGGUUUGUUACAAUUGUUACCGAACGGGUCAUAAGAAAGCAGAGUGCCCGGAGUUGGUUGAAAAUAAGGGUGGGCAGGAACAGAAAGGUGAAGCCCCCAAAGCAAAGGCGAGGUCUUUUCAACUAACAGCCGCUGAAGCAAAGAUUGAACCUGACGUGGUCUCAGGAAAAGAAGCCGGGGCAUCUAGUGGACAAACCGGUGUGGACGCUCGUUUGAAGGGCUCGCUUUGAAAGGUGAUUAGAAGUCAAGGAUGGCGAUCAAGCGACAAGAUGAAUGAACCGAACACUCCAUUUCGAAGCUUCCGCUAUGUUAAACUUGUUAAACAGUGUUUCUUUUGUUGUAAU